CAGAGAAUAGUUUAUAAAAAAUAUUAGUUUUGGGGAUUAAUGAAGGGGAGGAAAAAUCUCUUUCUCUGA
rnacentral:tRNA from 1 species